UACAGAGGGUGCGAGCGUUUAUCGGAAUUACUGGGCGUAAAGGGUGCGUAGGUGGUUCGAUAAGUCAGAUGUGAAAUCCCUGGGCUUAACCUGGGAAUUGCAUUUGAUACUGUCAAACUAGAGUGUGGUAGAGGUAAGCGGAAUUCCCGGUGUAGCGGUGAAAUGCGUAGAUAUCGGGAGGAACAUCAGUGGCGAAGGCGGCUUACUGGACUAACACUGACACUGAGGCACGAAAGCGUGGGUAGCAAACAGG
rnacentral:rRNA from 2 species